GCCUUCGUGGUGUAGUGGUCAGUACGCUCGACGCGUAACCGAGAGGUCCGUGGUUCGAUUCUCGGCGAAGGCG
rnacentral:tRNA from 1 species